rfam:TPA: Bos taurus chromosome 11, whole genome shotgun sequence.
UCCCUAGUGGCUCAGAUGGUAAAGAAUCUGCCUGCAAUGCAGGAGACCCGGGUUCAGUCCCUGGCUCAGGAA